GUCAAGUUUUGCUGACCUCGCCGGCUGACCGGAUCACCGCGGGCGUCGACAGGAAACCAAUGGUCUCUCGUGGUGUUUUCGAAAGCGCUUGCCGAAAGCCACACACGCAGUGCAUGCUCUGCACAAGAAACGUACCGCGUCAAAACAUUAAAACGGUCUGUUUGGGGUCCUCUUUGGUACUGUACAUUGUUAUUCCGCUCUUGCAAUUCGCUUAAUCCCAAUUACGAGUAAGAAGGGUGCUGAGUCCGAUCUCGGAAAAUCCAUACACAGGACGACACCUCGUUGCAGUUGUUCAGCGUCCGAAGGUGGAACGCCCUUUUCAGGAUAAGGAGUGGAACAAAUCUGGACAAUAUACACGCGGGUGUGGCUGGAUGAUGUCCUUAACCGCCUGCCCCCUCCAAGAACCCGCAAACCACUAGACUCCUCGGUGUUACGCCUUGCCGAGGUGCCACAUCGGCAGCUUUGACUUCCUCGAAAAAGCCUGAGCUGCAGUCCCAUGCAGAGCUCUUCAAAGCAUCCAAGCCCCUUUCAGUCUUCAAAUCGACGUGUGCUCGGAGACAUAUAGUUGCUGACAAUGACUUCGUAUCUGAAACCUGCCCAUCGAGGACACUAAACAGAACAACCUACGAAAUAACUCCAUGGCUUACACCACUGAGUCCAGAAUGACCUCGCUCCCUGACUUUUGAAUGAAACAGUCUCCCGAGCCACGGAGAUGGCCAAUGGCGCGAAGGCGUAGUAGCAGGCGCCACCCUCCGUCUACGAAUCUUGUUUCCGUCAUGACAGACAACACGGCACAGAGAACUGCCACCACGAAGAACAGUGGCUUCAGCCUUAAAUAGGGAACGGCCAAGCCGCUGCACCUAUCCCUGACAACUUGUCAGCGUGACCGGGCUCCAGACCGACUUCACAUGGUCUCUUCGCAUUUCGAAACGCUUGGACCAAAUCGAGGUCAGCGCGAUGCGCGAAUACGAAGUCUGGGGACAACGAACGAAUCGCAAAUGCGGACGGCUGCCUGUGCAAAAACAAACGCGAUGAGUGCUUGUUCGUGAAGUCGUGUUUCCGGUGUGUCUUCCCCCCAGCGAACUCGCAGGUCCAUACCAUGCGACGAUGUGUGCUACGGUACCUAAAUUGUAUGUGUUGCAUAACGAGGAACUUCGUAGGCAAGCUGCUUUGUAGUUUGAACACCACCGUGAUCUUAACCACAGGAUCUCUUGCAGGCCAGAGAUCUCACACUACGGAUAAUCAUUCCUGUCCGCCAACAGUGGGGCCAC
rnacentral:lncRNA from 1 species